UACGUAGGUGGCGAGCGUUGUCCGGAUUUACUGGGCGUAAAGAGCGCGCAGGCGGUUUGGUAAGUCGGAUGUGAAAACCCGGGGCUCAACCCCGGGCGUGCAUCUCGAUACUGCCCGACUAGAGGUAGGUAGGGGAGAUCGGAAUUCCUGGUGUAGCGGUGAAAUGCGCAGAUAUCAGGAGGAACACCGGUGGCGAAGGCGGAUCUCUGGGCCUUACCUGACGCUCAGGCGCGAAAGCUAGGGGAGCGAACAGG
rnacentral:rRNA from 1 species